ACUUGCUCUUGGGUGACGAGUGGCGGACGGGUGAGUAAUGUCUGGGAAACUGCCCGAUGGAGGGGGUUAACUACUGGAAACGGUAGCUAAUACCGCAUAACGUCUUCGGACCAAAGUGGGGGACCUUCGGGCCUCACACCAUCGGAUGUGCCCAGAUGGGAUUAGCUAGUAGGUGGGGUAACGGCUCACCUAGGCGACGAUCCCUAGCUGGUCUGAGAGGAUGACCAGCCACACUGGAACUGAGACACGGUCCAGACUCCUACGGGAGGCAGCAGUGGGGAAUAUUGCACAAUGGGCGCAAGCCUGAUGCAGCCAUGCCGCGUGUAUGAAGAAGGCCUUCGGGUUGUAAAGUACUUUCAGUGGGGAGGAAGGCGAUGAAGUUAAUAGCUUCUUCGAUUGACGUUACCCGCAGAAGAAGCACCGGCUAACUCCGUGCCAGCAGCCGCGGUAAUACGGAGGGUGCAAGCGUUAAUCGGAAUUACUGGGCGUAAAGCGCACGCAGGCGGUCUGUCAAGUCGGAUGUGAAAUCCCCGGGCUCAACCUGGGAACUGCAUUCGAAACUGGCAGGCUAGAGUCUUGUAGAGGGGGG
rnacentral:rRNA from 1 species